GGAGAAACAGUAAUGACAGUCUCACCCUACCUUCAACCCAGAGAGGAGAAACAGUAAUGACAGUCUCACCCUACUUUCAACCCAGAGAGGAGAAACAGUAAUGACAGUCUCACCCUACUUUCAACCCAGAGGAGAAACAGUAAUGACAGUCUCACCCUACCUUCAACCCAGAG
rnacentral:lncRNA from 13 species